rnacentral:misc_RNA from 1 species
GAUGAAGAACGUAGUGAAAUGCGAUAAGUAAUGUGAAUUGCAGAAUUCAGUGAAUCAUCGAAUCUUUGAACGCACCUUGCGCUCCUUGGUAUUCCGAGGAGCAUGCCUGUUUGAGUGUCAUGAAAUUCUCAACCUUUUCAGCUUUCUUUGUUGAUCAGGCUUGGAUGUGGGAGUAUGCGGGCUUCUCAGAAGUCGGCUCUCCUGAAAUGCAUUAGCGGGACCUUUGUUGCCUGGCUUUGGUGUGAUAAUUAUCUACGCCAUUGUAGUCAAGCAGCUUAAAAUGAGGUUUCAGCUUCUAACCGUCUCCCCUGAGAAAACUUUUUGACAAUUUGACCUCAAAUCAGGUAGGACUACCCGCUGAACUUAAGCAUAUCAAUAAGCGGAGGA